rnacentral:rRNA from 1 species
UACGUAGGGUGCGAGCGUUACUCGGAAUUACUGGGCGUAAAGCGUGCGCAGGCGGUUUUGUAAGCCAGAUGUGAAAUCCCCGGGCUCAACCUGGGAAUGGCAUUUGGGACUGCAAGGCUGGAGUACGGCAGAGGAGACUGGAAUUCCUGGUGUAGCAGUGAAAUGCGUAGAUAUCAGGAGGAAUACCGAUGGCGAAGGCAGGUCUCUGGGCUGAUACUGACGCUGAGGAGCGAAAGCGUGGGGAGCGAACAGG